GAGGGUACAGCUCAGUGGUAAAGUGCAUGCCUAAUGUGCACGAGAUCCUGGGUCCAAUCCCCUGUACCUCCA
rfam:Camelus ferus unplaced genomic scaffold scaffold155, whole genome shotgun sequence.